AAGUAAAGGAAGAGCACAAGGCGGAUGCCUUGGCAGCAUAAGGCGAUGAAGGACGUGGUAACCUGCGAUAAGCCUCGGGAAGUUGGUAAACAAAUUUUGAUCCGAGGAUUUCCGAAUGGGAAAACCCAAUAUACAUAAGUAUAUUAUCUUGUACUGAAUACAUAGGUACAUGAGGCAAACCUAGGGAACUGAAACAUCUAAGUACCUAGAGGAAAAGAAAUCAAUUGAGAUUCCGGCAGUAGCGGCGAGCGAAAUCGGAAAAGCCCUUAAGCUUAUUUUAGUCCAGCAAAAUAUUCUGGAAAGUUUAGCCAUAGUAGGUGAUAGCCCUGUAUGUGAAAGACUAAUUUAAGUGAAAUCGAGUAGGUCGGGACACGUGAAAUCUUGACUGAAUAUGGGGGGACCAUCCUCCAAGGCUAAAUACUCUCAGCUGACCGAUAGUGAACCAGUACCGUGAGGGAAAGGCGAAAAGAACCCCGGCGAGGGGAGUGAAAUAGAACCUGAAACCUUGUGCUUACAAGCAGUCGGAGCAGACUUGUUCUGUGACGGCGUACCUUUUGUAUAAUGGGUCAACGACUUAAUUUCAGUAGCAAGCUUAACCGUUUAGGGGAGGCGUAGGGAAACCGAGUCUUAAUAGGGCGCUCAGUUGCUGGAAUUAGACCCGAAACCGGGUGAUCUAUCCAUGGCCAGGGUGAAGGUCAGGUAACACUGACUGGAGGCCCGAACCCACUUAUGUUGAAAAAUGAGGGGAUGAGCUGUGGAUAGGAGUGAAAGGCUAAUCAAGUCCGGAGAUAGCUGGUUCUCCUCGAAAGCUAUUUAGGUAGCGCCUCGUGUAUCACUCUUGGGGGUAGAGCACUGUUUCGGCUAGGGGGUCAUCCCGACUUACCAAACCGAUGCAAACUCCGAAUACCAAUGAGUAUGAGCAUGGGAGACAGACUGCGGGUGCUAACGUCCGUAGUCGAGAGGGAAACAACCCAGACUGUCAGCUAAGGUCCCUAAUUAUGAUUAAGUGGGAAACAAUGUGGGAAGGCACAAACAGCUAGGAGGUUGGCUUAGAAGCAGCCAUCCUUUAAAGAAAGCGUAAUAGCUCACUAGUCUAGUUUGUCUGCGCGGAAGAUUUACCGGGGCUAAAUCAUAAACCGAAGCUUUGGAUCAUCUUCGGAUGAUGGUAGGAGAGCGUUCUGUAAGCCUGUGAAGGUGAACCGAGAGGUUUGCUGGAGGUAUCAGAAGUGCGAAUGCUGACAUGAGUAACGAAUAAGGGGGUGAAAAACCUCCUCGCCGGAAGACUAAGGAUUCCUGUCCAACGCUUUUCGUGGCAGGGUUAGUCGGCCCCUAAGGCGUACCCGAAAGGGGAAGUCGAUGGGAAACAGGUUAAUAUUCCUGUACCAGUUGGAAGUGACGGAUCUAGUAAAUUGUAUACCCUUAUUGGAUUGGGUAUGCAGUGAAUAGGUUCCAAGAAAUAGCUCCAACAUAGACCGUACCACAAACCGACACAGGUGGUCAGGUAGAGAAUACCGAGGCGGAUGAGAUAACUCUGGUGAAGGAACUAGGCAAAAUGUAACCGUAACUUCGGGAGAAGGUUAGCCAAUUAGAAGGCAACUUUUAGUUGGUCGAAGAUACCAGGUGGCUGCGACUGUUUACUAAAAACACAGCACUCUGCUAACACGAAAGUGGACGUAUAGGGUGUGACGCCUGCCCGGUGCCGGAAGGUUAAAUGAUGGGGUUAGCUUCGGCGAAGCUCUUGACUGAAGCCCCGGUAAACGGCGGCCGUAACUAUAACGGUCCUAAGGUAGCGAAAUUCCUUGUCGGGUAAGUUCCGACCUGCACGAAUGGCGUAACGAUGGCCACACUGUCUCCACCAGAGGCUCAGUGAAAUUGAAAUAGCUGUUAAGAUGCAGUUUACCCGCAGCUAGACGGAAAGACCCCGUGCACCUUUACUACAGGUUCACACUGAAAUUCGGUUUUAUAUGUGUAGGAUAGGUGGGAGACUUUGAAGCUUGGACGCCAGUUCAGGUGGAGUCGCCCUUGAAAUACCACCCUUGUAAGAUUGACUUUCUAACUUUGAUUUUUUCAAGGACAGUGUGUGCUGGGUAGUUUGACUGGGGCGGUCUCCUCCUAAAGAGUAACGGAGGAGUACGAAGGUAUGCUCAACACGGUCGGACAUCGUGUGUAGAGUGCAAAAGCAUAAGCAUGCUUGACUGCGAGAUCGACGGAUCGAGCAGGUAGGAAACUAGGUUUUAGUGAUCCGGUGGUUCUGAAUGGAAGGGCCAUCGCUCAACGGAUAAAAGGUACGCCGGGGAUAACAGGCUGAUACUGCCCAAGAGUCCAUAUCGACGGCAGUGUUUGGCACCUCGAUGUCGGCUCAUCUCAUCCUGGGGCUGGAGCAGGUCCCAAGGGUAUGGCUGUUCGCCAUUUAAAGAGGUACGCGAGCUGGGUUUAGAACGUCGUGAGACAGUUCGGUCCCUAUCUGCUGUGGGCGUUGGAGAUUUGAGGGAAGCUGAUCCUAGUACGAGAGGACCGGAU
rnacentral:rRNA from 1 species